rnacentral:rRNA from 1 species
GAGUUUGAUCCUGGCUCAGGAUGAACGCUAGCGGCAGGCUUAACACAUGCAAGUCGAACGGUAACAGAAAAAGCUUGCUUUUUGCUGACGAGUGGCGAACGGGUGCGUAACGCGUAUGCAACCUACCUUCUUCUAAGGAAUAGCCCAGAGAAAUUUGGAUUAAUACCUUAUGAUAAUAUUUAUUCGCAUGUUUAAAUAUUUAAAACUCCGGUGGAAGAAGAUGGGCAUGCGUAACAUUAGUUUGUUGGUGAGGUAAUGGCUCACCAAGACUACGAUGUUUAGGGGGUCUGAGAGGAUGAUCCCCCACACUGGUACUGAGACACGGACCAGACUCCUACGGGAGGCAGCAGUGAGGAAUAUUGGUCAAUGGACGAAAGUCUGAACCAGCCAUGCCGCGUGAAGGAUGACGGCCCUACGGGUUGUAAACUUCUUUUGUAUAGGAAGAAACCCCUCUACGUGUAGAGGGUUGACGGUACUAUUCGAAUAAGCACCGGCUAACUCCGUGCCAGCAGCCGCGGUAAUACGGAGGGUGCGAGCGUUAUCCGGAAUUAUUGGGUUUAAAGGGUGCGUAGGCGGAAAUUUAAGUCAGUGGUGAAAGCCUGCAGCUUAACUGUAGAAUUGCCAUUGAUACUGGAUUUCUUGAAUCUAAUAGAAGUAGGCGGAAUAUGACAUGUAGCGGUGAAAUGCUUAGAUAUGCCACAGAACACCGAUUGCGAAGGCAGCUCACUAAGUUAUAACUGACGCUGAGGGACGAAAGCGUGGGUAGCGAACAGGAUUAGAUACCCUGGUAGUCCACGCCGUAAACGAUGUAUACUCGUUGCUGGCGAUACACAGUCAGUGACCAAGCGAAAGUAUUAAGUAUACCACCUGGGGGAGUACGCUCGCAAGAGUGAAACUCAAAAGGAAUUGACGGGGGCCCGCACAAGCGGUGGAGCAUGUGGUUUAAUUCGAUGAUACGCGAGGAACUUACCUUGGGCUUAAA